rnacentral:rRNA from 1 species
AUCAACUUUCGAUUGGUAGGAUAGAGGCCUACCAUGGUGGUAACGGGUAACGGGGUGUUAGGGCACGACACCGGAGAGGGAGCCUGAGAAACGGCUACCACAUCCAAGGAUGGCAGCAGGCGCGCAAAUUACCCAAUCCCGACACGGGGAGGUAGUGACAAUAAAUAACAAUACGGGGUUCUUUCGGAUCUCGUAAUUGGAAUGAGUACAAUUUAAAUCUCUUAACGAGGAACAAUUGGAGGGCAAGCCUGGUGCCAGCAGCUGCGGUAAUUCCAGCUCCAAUAGCGUAUAUUAAAGUUGUUGCAGUUAAAAAGCUCGUAGUUGAAUUUCGGGGUUAGUAGGUUGGUCAUGCCUCUGGUAUGUACUGGUCUCACUGAUUCCUCCUUCCUUAUGAACCGUAAUGCCAUUAAUUUGGUGUUGCGGGGAAUUUGGACUGUUACUUUGAAAAAAUUAGAGUGUUUAAAGCAGGCUAACGCUUGAAUACAUUAGCAUGGAAUAAUGAAAUAGGACGUUCGAUCUUAUUUUGUUGGUUUCUAGGAUUGACGUAAUGAUUAAUAGGGAUAGUUGGGGGCAUUAGUAUUCAAUUGUCAGAGGUGAAAUUCUUGGAUUUAUCGAAGACUAACUACUGCGAAAGCAUUUGCCAAGGAUGUUUUCAUUAAUCAAGAACGAAAGUUAGGGGAUCGAAGACGAUCAGAUACCGUCGUAGUCUUAACCAUAAACUAUGCCGACUAGGGAUCGGAUGAUGUUAAUUUUUUAAUGACUCAUUCGGCGCCUUACGGGAAACCAAAGUGUUUGGGUUC